GGGACACAUGAACACAAAAUAUCCCUGCAGGCCAAAAAAAUUGCAAAAUUUAAACAACCAUUAUCUUAUCAUGGGGAUACAUUCCCUCCCUUAAUAGCUUAUAAAGUACCUCGUAUUGCUAGAGACAUACAUCCAGUCCAAAUUUAAUAAAAUACAUUUUAAAACGUUACAAGUCUAACGGUAUAGAAACAAAAAUCACACCAUUAGUCAAAUGAACAAAUGCAAACAUUUUCAGCCACUAGACAUAGAAAGAGCAUGAAUAUGUCAAUAGCAAGGGAUAAGAAAAUGGUUAAUCAAUAAGAUUUUUCCUUUAACUUUACAAGGAAAAAUUCUUGGAGUUGAAGCAGUAUUGAUACAAUGCCCUUAGCCUCCACUUUCUUAAAAUGAAAGCAGAGCUACCACUUUGUUAUUGAGCAUGAAAAUCUUACAGCACAUCCACAAAGGGCUGAUGGGGCAGGGUGGAGAGGGUGAACCUUGUAAAACAGUGGAUUACCUUUUCCCAUGGGGAUGGAGUGAGCCAGGUAGAUAAGCUCUGAAAUAGGCUGGGCACCAGAUCCUUAAGUACAGACCAUAUAGAACAUGCCUGCUUAUAAAUCAUUACCUUUGGAAGCAGCAAAUAGAAUUUACAGUAAGAAUGAGUGUGUUCUGUCUGCCCAGAACUCUGGCUGCAUUAAGCCAGCUGGUUCGUUUUAUAAACCACUCAGGAUUCAACAGCUAACAACAACAACAAAACAAAAUUGGUUCAACAUUUGUGUCUUCACCACUCUUUUAAUGUCCCACUCCUUAUCCCCAAACUGUUACUCUUUAGCAUUGCUACAUUUAAAUCUUUCACACCACAUGACAGUGCCUAAACAGGCUGUAUUUAAAAAAAAACAACAAAAAAACCCAGCCUAACACUACUUCUACAGAAUGCACACCUCCCAUUGAUUGACACAUGCAUAACGAUUUAGUUUUGAAGGGGUUAACUAUUAGAAUUGUCAAGCCAAAUUAAAUUAAAACUAUGCUCUCAGACUCGCUUGCAAUAAUAUUGCAGCACCUCUGUGCAGUGAUUACCCCUUAAAGACUCACCCCUCCACAAGUUUUUUUCCCCAAUAAUCCUACUUCUAUAUUUCUUUCCUUUUGUCCAAAAUGACGGCAUUGCACCCUUGAUGGGACUGUUUUCCUAUAAAAAUAGGCCUCCCGGCUUUUCUUCCACCACCAUGUUGAUUGGCCCCUGUGUACUAUGGCUGACUGAGGUCUUACAAACAGUAUAGUUUAAGGUCGAGCAUAGAGUCCAACUGCAGGCAAGCAGAUUAGGGGUCCUGGGCACUUGGCUCUGCCUCUGCUCCAUGAAUCCCAGGACAUGGUGAGAGCUUCUUCUGUGCAGUACCAACAAAUGAACCCGAGGCACUCAAGUGCAGGUGUAGUGCCCGCCAGCUGGCCAGCCAGCUGCCAGAGUUCUUCACAUCUUGGACUCCAGAGAGUCCUCCUCCUCCUCCAAGGCUUGUUUUUUCUCUUCUUGAGUCCAGAGCGGCCAUGCUGAAGGGUAUUUUCUGUGCUCUCCCUGAACAAGUGUGAAUAAAAGCAGCAGCCAGCUCCUCACCAACAUGUCCUGAUUUGUAUUAUCCAAGUGAGGUAUUUGCGAAAAAGGAAAAUCUUAAGAUAUUAACAUCUUCCAUCACUUCACUCCUGCCUAUGUUGUGCUUCAGUCACAGAACUUGCUUUCUUCCCACCAUCUGCAGAGAUUAAGGACGUCUGUACUCAUCACAAUGAGCUAUAGGACUUGAUAGACAUUAUAAAAUUCUCAGAGACCAGUCUCAGCAAACACUGGUGGCGUCGCUGAGUAACAGCACAUGAAAAUGUAAACUUCAGUGUAUUUACAAGCUUGCUUAAAAGACUGAAGAAAAACAGUGCUUUAUAUUGCUGGGAUUUCGAGAAGGCUACUUUAAGAGACCUGGACCAACUAAUGAGUUCAAGCAAAUGCCCUUCAUCAUCUGAUCCAGUGUUUCCCAGCAGCAGUUUCUAGACAGAGGUGGCAAAAUUGUUUUUACCACAUUGUGUCUGUCUUUUCCUUCCCCCAGCACCUUCAUAGUCGGCCAUAUGAAGUGUGGCUCUGGGUCCUUUAUCUCUCACUCCUGCCAUUCCAGGAUAGAGAAUAACAGUACAAUCAGUAAAAUGUGGAGUGGGAAAUGCUGGCUGGACCUACCAAGACUCUAUGUAAUCGUUGUCCAUUACAAAGUAUUAUCUACACUAAAUACAGAAUACAUUUCCCCCUACAUUUUAACUGAUGCUUGCUUCAGACAACUCCUUUUGUUUGGACAAGAAAGGAAUCCUGUCUCCCUAUGAGUGGAACCCAGAAUCUAUUAAGAAAAAUCAACCAUUUCUACACAGUUUUAGGUGAAUAAAAGGAAGGAAAACCCAUCAUCUCUUUCAGUUUGAAAGACAAGAAAAAACAUUGCACUGCAAAUAAUUGUGUGUGUAAUCUUGAUUCCCAGGAAAAAAUUUUUAAAUGCUGGUACAUUUUUGCAAGUGCAGCAUCACUCAAUGUGCCUUUAAAGACUGGUAAUGCCUAUCCAAUAAGAAAGUAUCCUAGUUCUAGCUUAUUCUACAACAAAGUGACAGGACACCAACUGUGACAAUAAGAUUAGUAAAAACAAUUCUUUAAAAAGGCAUGGAAAUAUAUGUCUUUUCUGAU
ensembl:lncRNA